CAUCACGGCGCGCCGUCACCGCCCUCGCCCCCGCCCUCCACGGGGGUUCGAAGUCCGCGGUGCGCCGCCUUUCCGCCGCUAUUCGGUAGCAUCUACGUGGCCUUCCACGCUGCUCUCCAAAAUACUCUGAAGCGGACUGAACGUUACGACACUUCGCAAAAGAAAACAGCAAGAGACUUUUAAGGAAAACUGCUAGACCUGAGGGUAUGGAUCAGCAGCAAAGUGUUUGAAGCAAAGCAAAACUUCCGCCCCAGUUUGUCUUGCUGUUGAGUGGACUGUGCAAACAUGCUUUUCAGAAGGUCAUCUGAUUUUCCUCUCUGUGGUGUAUGUGUGUGCGUAAGAGAGAGAGAGAGAGAGAUAGAGAGAUCUCUAUCUCCAUCUCUAGGCAUUCUCCAAAGGCUUGUGUUCAACCUCAAGGGGCCUGAUAUUAAUUCAAAAAACUAUCCCAACCUAAUCCCACCCUCAUUUUCUUAAAGUAACAGUGGUCAACUUUAUGUUUUAUAUAUAGCCCUUGAUGCUCUAUCACUGCAAAUUAUUUUUAAAAGGGACAUGUUUCUUUCUCUUCUUUCUCUGCUCUUCCUUAAUAUCUCUCCCUCUCUAAUCUCAGGGGAAACAGAAUUACCUUUCUUCCCCAUCGGAGGCAGUUAUCUAUCCUUAAGCACACACCCACCAGAAUGGAGUAAUUCAGACCUUGGGGAUAACACCAGAAGAUUUAAAAAAUAACUCUCUCUCAAAUUAACAAGUGAAGUACAACUCUGAACAGAACAAGUGGAAUGUAGCCUUUGAAUCACCUCCCCCCAAAAAAAACUCUGUUUCCUGGGAUGGGCAGAAUCAUAUCCUCUGGGAUUGGAGUCCCUUGUGCUUCUUUCUCCUUUACUAGCAAAGCAAUAAAACUUCUUUUUCCUUUUUCUCAAAACCAUGUCCUUGUUAUUGGAUUGGCAUCAGGGACAAGGACUGAAUUUUUGAUAACAUUAAUCUCCCCUAAAUGUUCUUGUUUUCACUAGAGAGUGUCAUUUAUAUCCAUCUUCCAUGAGACUUGAGUGUUUAAUGCACCCAUAGAGGCUUUACCUACUCUUAUCCAUUGAACCGACUAGCCAUCCUCCAGAGGUGGUAAGGUACCUAAGGCAGAGCAAGUUCUCUUCCCUCCCUCCCAGUCCUUUCCUAUCAAAAUCUCCAGAAAUGGGAUCCUAAAACUCAUGUUCAUCAAGUUCUCCAGGUGAUUCUGUACACACCAAACCUUGCCUUCCUACCUUCCUUUGUUGGAAUUGAUUUAUUUUCUGCACACCCUGCCAGCUCUUAAGAUUUUUAUUUGUUGGAACAAUGUCUUAGACAUCAUCAGACUCCUCAUAAUGCUUACUAGCAGAUGCUAGAGAUUCUUCCUACGGUGUCAUUUUUGGUUAUGAGGAAAAGGCCACAAAGCCUGUAUUUAUGAAGACAAAAACUAUAAAAGUUUACUUUGUAAAAUGGAAUUUAAAAUUUAGGAACAAUGGAAGUAAAUUUGUGUUAUCUUUUAUCUUAGAAUGGUGUUCUUGAGCUAUGUAUUAAUUCUUAGAAUAAAGAAGAAUAAGUUAAAUAUUAAA